rnacentral:rRNA from 1 species
UCAUAUGCUUGUCUCAAAGCUUAAGCCAUGCAAGUGUAAGUUCACGCCACGCAUUAGAACGGGCGAAACCGCGAAUGGCUCAGGAACCGGACCUAAUCCUCGGGACCGUAUUCCUCCUCGGAGGCGAUGGAUAACUGUGGCAAUUCUAGAGCUAAUACAUGUGACACAGGCCGCGAUCGGUCGGCGCGUUGUCGUCGCCUCGCCUUGCGCGCUGGCACCCGCGUCGGCCGUUCCGGGUCGCGGCGCUACAUAUUAGACUGAGACCGAUGCGCGUCAUUCCGUCCUCCCGUCGUCGGCGUCGGCGCAAGCCGGUCGCUCGGUGGCGGGGCUCAUAGGGCGGCGCGCUCCGCUUUGGUGACUCUGGAUAACUCACUGGUCGAUCGCACGGGCUUUACGCCCGGCGACGGGUCUCUCGAGGGUCCGCCCUAUCAACUGUCGACGGUCGGUUAAGUGCCUACCGUGGUUACUACGGGUAACGGGGAAUCGGGGUUCGAUUCCGGAGAGGGAGCAUGCGAAACGGCUACCACAUCCAAGGAAGGCAGCAGGCGCGCAAAUUACCCACUCCCGGCACGGGGAGGUAGUGACGAAAAAUAACGACGCGGGACUCUGUCGAGGCCCCGCGAUCGGAAUGAGUACACUUCAAAUCCGUUAACGAGGACCAACCGGAGGGCAAGUCUGGUGCCAGCAGCCGCGGUAAUUCCAGCUCCGGUAGCGUAUAUUAAAGUUGUUGCGGUUAAAAAGCUCGUAGUCCGAACUCGGGUUCGUGGUCGCGCAAGCGGCCCCGGGGCGGCGGCGCCAUCGUCCGUCGUUGACUUUGGUCGUCCGUUCGCAUUCCCGGCCCUUUCCGCCGGUGUCAACCGCUAGCAUAUCCGUCACGCGGUCCUGCCGGCGAGGUGGACGAGGAUGUCGAGUCGGGAUCCGGGAGCGGUAAUGGGCUGGGAACGAAAUCACGGGGUCUGCGGGGGGUUAGCGGUGGUGGCUCGCUCGCCCACCUCGGCGCGCGGCGCGGUGGUUCUUCCUCCGUCGCCGCCGUCGUCUCCGGCGGGUGUCCGUCGCGGCGCCCCCCCUCUCCUCGCUUCCUCCCUCCUCGCCCUCCCCCCGACCCACUCCGAGUCCCUGCUUCGUGUCUGUCUGCGCGCGUGUGCGGUCGGCGGUUUCUCCUCCAAGGGUGCUCUUAACCGAGUGUCCGCGGCGGCCGGUACGUUCACUUUGAAAAAAUUAGAGUGCUCAGAGCGGGCUGUUCAAGCUUGCAUACGAUAAGCAUGGAAUGAUGGAAGAGGGCCUCGUCUACGUCUGUCGGUCUCCGUCUACGGCGAGGCAAUGAUCGAAGGGAGCGGUCGGGGCCACUCGUAUUGCGACGUUAGAGGUGAAAUUCUUGGAUCGUCGCAAGACGAACUGCAGCGAUGGCGUGUGGCAAGCACGUUUUCCUCGAUCAAGAGCGAAAGUCGGAGGUUCGAAGACGAUCAGAUACCGUCGUAGUUCCGACCGUAAACGAUGCCGACCGGCGAUCCGCCGGCGUUCCAUUCCAUGACCCGGCGGGUAGCCUGCGGGAAACCAGAGUUCGGUUCCGGGGGGAGUAUGGUUGCAAAGCUGAAACUUAAAGGAAUUGACGGAAGGGCACCACCAGGAGUGGAGCCUGCGGCUUAAUUUGACUCAACACGGGAAAACUCACCCGGUCCGGACACCGGUAGGAUUGACAGAUCGAUAGCUCUUUCUCGAUUCGGUGGGUGGUGGUGCAUGGCCGUUCUUAGUUGGUGGAGCGAUCCGUCUGGUUGAUUCCGAUAACGAACGAGACUCCGGCCUGCUAACUAGUGCGCCGAUGUGAGUGAUUUUUACGGCGGGCUCGGCGUCCUUCGCGGCGCUCGGGUCCGGGUCGGUUUUCUCACGCACUUCUUAGAGGGACGGGUGGCAGAAAGCCACACGAGGCGGAGCGAUAACAGGUCUGUGAUGCCCUUAGAUGUCCGGGGCCGCACGCGCGCUACACUGGAGGUAUCAGCGGGGACUUCGCCCCGGCCCGAGAGGGUUGGGAAACCUCUUAACCACCUCCCGUGAUAGGGAUCGGGGCCUGUAACCAACCCCGUGAACGAGGAAUUCCCGGUAGGCGCGGGUCAACAGCCCGCGUCGAUCACGUCCCUGCCCUUUGUACACACCGCCCGUCGCUACUACCGAUCGAACGGUCCGGUGAGGUCCUCGGAUCUGGCCGACGACGCCGCCGGGCAGUGUGCGAUGUGUCGGCAACGACACUCGUGCGCGUCAGCCUCGGCGUUCGAUGCCUGGAGAAGACGACCGAACCCGAUCGUUUAGAGGAAGUAAAAGUCGUAACAAGGUUUCC